rfam:Nasonia vitripennis chromosome 5 unlocalized genomic scaffold Chr5_random003, whole genome shotgun sequence.
CAAACGGCCCUUUUCAGGGCCACCACAAUAUUAAUAACGUAGUCG